CCUACGGGAGGCAGCAGUGGGGAAUAUUGGGCAAUGGAGGAAACUCUGACCCAGCGACGCCGCGUGCGGGAUGAAGGCCUUCGGGUUGUAAACCGCUUUCAGCAGGGAAGAAGCGAAAGUGACGGUACCUGCAGAAGAAGCACCGGCUAACUAUGUGCCAGCAGCCGCGGUAAUACAUAGGGUGCAAGCGUUGUCCGGAAUUAUUGGGCGUAAAGAGCUCGUAGGUGGUUCGUCACGUCGGAUGUGAAAAUCUGGGGCUUAACCCCAGACCUGCAUUCGAUACGGGCGAGCUUGAGUAUGGUAGGGGAGUCUGGAAUUCCUGGUGUAGCGGUGGAAUGCGCAGAUAUCAGGAGGAACACCAAUGGCGAAGGCAGGACUCUGGGCCAUUACUGACACUGAGGAGCGAAAGCGUGGGGAGCGAACAGGAUUAGAUACCCUGGUAGUCCACGCCGUAAACGGUGGGCACUAGUUGUGGGGACCUUCCACGGUCUCUGCGACGCAGCUAACGCAUUAAGUGCCCGCCUGGGGAGUACGAUCGCAAGAUUAAAACGUCAAAGGAAUUGAACGGNUUGAGACGNGCGAGACGACGACGAGGAGAG
rnacentral:rRNA from 1 species